rnacentral:rRNA from 1 species
CGAACGCUGGCGGCGCGCUUAAUACAUGCAAGUCGAACGAGAAGCCAGAGCUUGCUCUGGUGGAAAGUGGCGAACGGGUGAGUAACACGUGAGAAACCUGCCCCAAAGAUUGGGAUAAGCCUUGGAAACGAGGUCUAAUACCAAAUACCUUCCUUUAGCACAUGUUAAAAGAAGAAAUGCUCCGGCGCUUUGGGAUGGUCUCGCGAUCUAUCAGCUUGUUGGUGAGGUAACGGCUCACCAAGGCAUCGACGGAUAGCUGGUCUGAGAGGAUGUCCAGCCACAUUGGAACUGAGACACGGUCCAAACUCCUACGGGAGGCAGCAGUAGGGAAUCUUGCACAAUGAGGGAAACCUUGAUGCAGCGACGCCGCGUGCGGGACGAAGGCCCUAGGGUUGUAAACCGCUUUCAGUAGGGACGAAAGUGACGGUACCUACAGAAGAAGCCCCGGCCAACUAUGUG